UGUUGAUGCACAUCUCAAAAUGUUCCUUAAGAGAAAAGGAGGGGUGAAUGCUGUAAAUGGGUAUGACUGGGUGACAAAGACUCUAGGCACUGAAGUCCAUUAGGAAUACAUUAUCAGAUGAAGGUAAUUAUUCAAAGAAGAACAACAGAUGCCAUUUGUAUGCAGAUGAUAUGAGAGGAAAAAUAUUGGCACAGAAUGCAUGUAACACCUCAAGCUAUUAUGUGUAUUUCAUGGACAUACAGAAGAACGAAUGAACAAGAAGCUAUGGGUCCUACCAAAGGUGAAGCAUCCAGAGGCAGACAAUUCCACAAUAAAGAGCAUAUGCCGGGUACUCAUUUUACCAACCACGGAUGGAUGGAAGGCUGAGUGGACCUCGACCCCUUUUACCAGAGAUUCGACUUCCUCCUUUCAUUGGAAUCGAACUCCGGCUGUGAGCAGAGCUUGCAA